GUGCCAGCAGCUGCGGUAAUACGUAGGUGGCAAGCGUUAUCCGGAUUUAUUGGGCGUAAAGAGAGUGCAGGCGGUUUUCUAAGUCUGAUGUGAAAGCCUUCGGCUUAACCGGAGAAGUGCAUCGGAAACUGGAUAACUUGAGUGCAGAAGAGGGUAGUGGAACUCCAUGUGUAGCGGUGGAAUGCGUAGAUAUAUGGAAGAACACCAGUGGCGAAGGCGGCUACCUGGUCUGCAACUGACGCUGAGACUCGAAAGCAUGGGUAGCGAACAGGAUUAAGAUACCCUGGUAGUCCAUGCCGUAAACGAUGAGUGCUAGGUGUUGGAGGGUUUCCGCCCUUCGAGUGCCGGAGCUAACGCAUUAAGCACUCCGCCUGGGGAC
rnacentral:rRNA from 1 species